ensembl:lncRNA
GUGUUCCUUGUUCAAAGAAAACUCUGGUUAAAGUAAAAUGGCUAAAAUAUGUGUUCAGACUCGAAAGGGCACGCUGCAGCGUGACUCCUGUGAUCAGCCACACCCAAUCGGGUUGUUCCUUCUUUUUGAUGCUGGAGAGGGAGAAAUGCAAAAAGUCCUUGCGGAGCUGCUGCCUAAACGAGUGGAAAAAAUAUUAAAAACCAAGCCAGAAGUCUACAUAAAGCAAUCUUUGUACUUUGGAGAAUAUAUUUUUGUUUUUCCGAGCUGUCCUUGCCUUGGUGACGCUAGAACGUAACCGAACGGGACUUGGCCAUUAAGGUUUGGAUCGGGAAAUGCCAAGCUAGAAUCGGAGUUUGAUCCGCUGAGCGAGAAACAAGAUGGCGAGCCACCCACGGACCCAUUGAACUGUACCGAGCAGGAAAAGGGAAAACCGCCCCCUGCUGGAUGUUGAGUUCUUUCGCUAAAAGAAACUGGUAGGACUAAUCCAUACACCUCUGCAAAAGAACAGUGGACUUUCAAAGCACUGGACAAUCAUUCAGAGCAAUUCCAGGAUUUAUAGUUAAAGGACACAGAGACAAUUUUCUUUUGUUUAUUUGUUUGUUUAAGGGAUUUGUUCAGCCUUUUGCUGAAUUGUUUUCAGUUUUUACAUGUUUUUUGUAAUUUAUUUUGGUCAACCUUACAUUUUAAUGCUGUAAUGGUGUUAAUGGAAAUGUAAAUAAUUUUGUUGGGUUAAAACAAAAUAAGAACUGGUUGAAAUUUAAAGGUGAACCUAGACCAAGAUUAAAUUAAAUCUUGGGCCUAAAGAACUAAAACUUGAUUUAAAAUAACACAGUGUUAAUUCAAAUAGAUUAAAGGAUAAACUUGAACUUAGGACUUGGAAUGAAUAAAAUAACAUCCUUUUAAAGCCAAAUAAAAGGUUUUGAGAUAAAUAGGAUAAAUUAACAGAAAUUACUGAACUAAAAAAGGGGAAGAAAAUAUCUUGUUUUCCUUAAAUGUGUGAUGUUGAAUGUUUUAUGUAAUUGUGUGUUAACUGUCUAUUCUGUCUUCACAAAAUAAUAAGCCGGCAAUUUAAACUUAUUUUCUGGUCUGUGGUCUUUAUCACACGCUACACUCAUUACUACUCUAGUAGUCGAACCUAACUGGUCCUAGUAUACUGUAACGACUCCAAAAGUGUUACAUUAGCUGUCAUAUGGCUCAUUCAUCAAUGGAGAAUGUGGAGAAUUAAUUCAUUC